CCGGCCACGCGCGUGUUGAGAUGCGCGCGACGUGCAGGCGGCGCCGACGUGCGACAUACACAGGAAGUGAUCAUUAUACCUUAGAUACAUUCCCAGAGACAAGUCGCCAACCUCGUAAGGUGCUAAGGCCUUUUGUGACUCGCGAUUCCAUGUUUCUUUGUACGAGUACACCAGUAUGUACAUAAAACGAUCUACUCGAUUGAUAAAUAUUGUUGUUUAGCUAGUUUCAAAUAUCCAGUUCAGGCCUUAAGUCUCCUCUCUUUAUCCAUUUAAGAGAUGAGAAUCAGGAGCUCAGACCCGUACCCUGUUAUCCUGUAUUUAAUUACAGAUUCUUAUGGUGUAGUGAGCGAACUGACGGUGCGUGACGUGCGCUCCGGAGCUCGGUGGUGUAACUAAGCUCACUUCUUUCAAAAAACAACAAGUCAGAAACCCGGAAGAGCCGCACGGUCGGGCGGGCGGCAACCUAGCGGCGCGGCGGUCGGCAGGUCGGCGGGUCGCUGCCGAUAGCGUGCGGACGCGGGCACAGGCCCGCCGAUAGCUGCCGGGUCAACGACCGCUCCGCGCGGCUGCUGCGUCGCGGGGACUGGGCCCGUCGAGCCUUGCACUGCAGCGUCGGGCACUCGGAUGUAUCACUCAAGGCAGGUCCAUCGUCACUCGUCAAGUCCGCACUCAACACAACUCAGCUGCACACGGCUGUCGGCGCGCUCUCUCGACACAAGUAGCUCUUUGGGAGAGCCGGCACGGGCACAGAGUGCAGAGCGUGCAGCAUCGCGCGGGCGGAGCUGUUUGCUAGAGCUUUCACUGGCGAGUGCCGCGGCGGAGGCGGCGGCCUUUGAGACGUAACACGGCGAGUAUGCAUAUAUUUAUGAGACUCUGCGGUAGCCAACAUUUAUCACGGUGUUGUAACCCUAUAUCUCGGCGCAAGUCUCCCAUGAAAUCAUCGGUAACGACUCGGCGGAC
rnacentral:lncRNA from 1 species